UGGCAAUGCAACUUUAGCUUCUCUCAAAGGAAUUCUUGGCUGGUUUAUGUGCCGUAAACAAAUCUUACAGCUGCAGCAUGGUGAAGGUUAAUUUUGCAGCAAGUAAACUACUUUUGCAGUAUCAGCAUAAGAGUUGGAAUCUGCAGCUUUGCAUGUGUCACUGCUGCACUGAAAAUUUAGCUUUCACAAUGAUCUUUUCCUUCACCAAAUCCUCUUCCUAAAGUGCUACCAAUUAUGUCAAGUUGUCUCCAACAAUGUUGUAACGACAAAUGAACUCACACCGGCACCAACAGUCAGUUAUCUC
rnacentral:lncRNA from 1 species